UACGGAGGGUGCAAGCGUUGUCCGGAUUUAUUGGGUUUAAAGGGUGCGUAGGCGGCCCGUUAAGUCAGUGGUGAAAGCCUCCAGCUCAACUGGAGAACUGCCAUUGAUACUGACGGGCUUGAGUACAGACGAGGUUGGCGGAAUUGAUGGUGUAGCGGUGAAAUGCAUAGAUACCAUCAAGAACUCCGAUUGCGUAGGCAGCUAACUAGGCUGUAACUGACGCUGAGGUGCGAAAGCGUGGGGAGCAAACAGG
rnacentral:rRNA from 1 species